UACGUAGGGUGCAAGCGUUGUCCGGAAUUAUUGGGCGUAAAGAGCGUGUAGGCGGCCCGAUUAGUCCGCUGUGAAAGUCCAGGGCUCAACCCUGGAAUGCCGGUGGAUACUGUCGGGCUAGAGUCCGGAAGGGGCGAGUGGAAUUCCUGGUGUAGCGGUGAAAUGCGCAGAUAUCGGGAGGAACACCGGUGGCGAAGGCGGGUCUCUGGGCCGAUACUGACGCUGAGGAGCGAAAGCGUGGGGAGCGAACAGG
rnacentral:rRNA from 1 species